rnacentral:rRNA from 1 species
ACGCUCGACACCUACGGGAGGCAGCAGUGGGGAAUAUUGCACAAUGGGGGAAACCCUGAUGCAGCGACGCCGCGUGAGUGAAGAAGUAUUUCGGUAUGUAAAGCUCUAUCAGCAGGGAAGAAGAUGACGGUACCUGAGUAAGAAGCCCCGGCUAACUACGUGCCACAGCCGCGGUAAUCUGAGCGGCUGGCAAGGC